ACUGCUAUCGGGGUGGGACUAAGACAUGCAAGUUGUGCGUCUCUAAGCCAUGGUAGAGACGCGGCAUACGGCUCAGUAACACGUGGCUAACCUACCCUUAGACGGGGACAACCCCGGGAAACUGGGGCUAAUAUCCGAUAGGUUAGAGGCCUGGAAUGGUUCCUAGUCGAAAAGGCGUUGGAACCAUGCUUUUCGACGUCGCCUAAGGAUGGGGCCGCGUCCGAUCAGUUGUUGGUGGGGCAACGGCUCACCAAGCCUAUAACCGGUACGGGCCGUGGGAGCGGGAGCCCGGAAUGGGCACUGAGACAAGGGCCCAGCCCUACGGGGCGCACAGUCGCGAAAACUCCGCAAUGCGCGAAAGCGUGACGGGGCUACCCCGAGUGCCGUCCGCUGAGGAUGGCUUUUUCCCAGUGUAAUGAGCUGGGGGAAUAACGGAGAGGGCAAGUCUGGUGUCAGCCGCCGCGGUAAUACCAGCUCUCCGAGUGGUAGGGAUGAUUAUUGGGCUUAAAGCGUCCGUAGCCGGCCUUAGCAAGUCUCCUGUUAAAUUCAGCGACUUAAUCGUUGAGCCGCGGGAGAUACUACUAGCUAGAGGCGGGAGAGGUCGACGGUAUUCUCAGGUACGGGUGAAAUCCU
rnacentral:rRNA from 1 species